AUGGACCCUCAUGUUGUUUUACUUCUCACCCUCAUCCUCCUCCUGGGUACCGGAGACGGCAGCCUCGCCGUCGGCACUCCGUCCGCGAUCAUCAGAACCACAUGCGCGGCUGUCGGCCAACCCGGCCGGGGAGUGGGUUACGACUCCUGCGUGGGCGCGCUCUCGGCCGACCCGGCCGCCGCGGCCGCCAAGGACGCACGUGAGCUCGCCGUCGUCGCCACCAACCUCACCGUGGCCAACGUCACGUCGACGGUGCUCGUCCUCGACGACCUCGUCAAGAACCUCGGGGACUGCCUCCGCUCCUACAGGGACAUGAACAAGAACCUAGAGGGCGCCCUCGGUGACCUAGCUGCUGGGCGCCUCAAAGCGGCGUCCGACAAGCUGCUGCAUGCCUCCUUCGCGCCCAGCGACUGCGACAUCCUCUUGCUCGAGGGGAGCGCGGAGAAGAACCCGGUGAGCGAGGAGAACAACGACGCCGGUUGGCUGUCCCGACUGGCGUAUGUGAUUGCUACCUUCUAG
rnacentral:rRNA from 1 species